rnacentral:rRNA from 1 species
UACGGCUCAGUAACACGUAGCUAACCUAACCUUAGGUCAAGGAUACCCUCGGGAAACUGAGGCUAAUACUUGAUAAGAGAUAUUUUUUGGAAUAAGAUUUCUCUGAAAUCUCAGAAAUCAUAGAUUUCUGAUGACUGUCAGAAUCUUCGAUUCUGAAGCUUGAGCCUAAGGACGGGGCUGCGGCUGAUUAGGUUGUUGGCGGGGUAAAAGCCCACCAAGCCUACGAUCAGUAAGGGCCCUUAGCGGGGAAGCCCUGAGAAGGAAUCUGAGACACUAUUCCUAGCUUUACGGAGCGCAGCAAGUAGGGAUCUUCUGCAAUGCACGCAAGUGUGACAGAGCGAGCCAGAGUGUUUUUCAUAUUGAAAAACUUUUGCCAAAUGUAAAAAUUUUGGCGAAUAAGGACUGGGCAAGACUGGUGCCAGCCGCCGCGGUAAUACCAGCGGUCCGAGUCGCAGCCACAUCUAUUGGGUCUAAAACAUUCGUAGCUUGUUUUGUAAGUCUCUUGUGAAAUCUUAUAUCUCAAAUAUAGGGCGGGCAAGAGAUACUGCAGAACUAGAGACCGGAGGAUGUAAGGAGUAUGGUUAGGGUAGUGGUUAAAUACGUUAAUCCUAAUCAGACUAACAAUAGCGAAGGCACCUUACAACGACGGAUCUGACAGUGAGGGAUGAAGGCUAGGGGCGCAAAGCGGAUUAGAUACCCGUGUAGUCCUAGCAGUAAACUCUGUACACUAAACAUCAGUGCCUCCUCGAGAGGCAUUGGUGCUGUAGGGAAGCCGAAGAGUGUACUACCUGGGAAGUAUAGCCGCAAGGCCGAAACUUAAAGGAAUUGGCGGA